UAGGUAACGGCGAGUGAAGUGGGAAAAGCUCAACUUUGAAAUCUGGCAGCUUCGCUGUCCGAGUUGUAGUCUCGAGAAGUGUUUUCCGCGCUGGACCAUGUAUGAGUCUGUUGGAAUACAGCGUCAUAGAGGGUGAGAACCCCGUUCAUGACAUGCCUUCCAGUGCUUUGUGAUACACUUUCGAUGAGUCGAGUUGUUUGGGAAUGCAGCUCAAAAUGGGUGGUAAAUUCCAUCUAAAGCUAAAUAUUGGGGAGAGACCGAUAGCAAACAAGUACCGUGAGGGAAAGAUGAAAAGCACUUUGGAAAGAGAGUUAACAGUACGUGAAAUUGUCGAAAGGGAAACGCUUGAAGUCAGACGUGCGUAGUGCCUUCGGGUGCUGUUGCAGGCCAGCAUCAGUUUUUCGAGCCGGAUAAAGGUGGGAGAAAGGUAGCAGUCUCGGCUGUGUUAUAGCCUCCCACUGAAUACGGAUUGUGAGACUGAGGAAUGCGAUUCUAGGAUGCUGGUGAAAUGGCUUUAAACGACCCGUCUUGAAACACGGACCA
rnacentral:rRNA from 1 species